rnacentral:rRNA from 1 species
GAGGCAGCAGUGGGGAAUAUUGCACAAUGGGCGAAAGCCUGAUGCAGCGACGCCGCGUGAGGGAUGACGGCCUUCGGGUUGUAAACCUCUUUCAGCAGGGAAGAAGCGAGAGUGACGGUACCUGCAGAAGAAGCACCGGCUAACUACGUGCCAGCAGCCGCGGUAAU